rnacentral:tRNA from 1 species
GUGAAAGUGGCUGAAAAUGGCCUUUGGGGGACUGAAAAUCCCCGUGUCGGCAGUUCAAUUCUGUCCCUCGGCACCA